rnacentral:rRNA from 1 species
UACAGAGGGGGCAAGCGUUGUUCGGAAUUACUGGGCGUAAAGGGCGCGUAGGCGGCGCGGGCAGUCAACGGUGAAAGCUUGGGGCUCAACCCCGAGUCGGCCGUCGAUACUCCCGGGCUGGAGCACUGUAGAGGCAGGUGGAAUUCCGGGUGUAGCGGUGGAAUGCGUAGAGAUCCGGAAGAACACCGGUGGCGAAGGCGGCCUGCUGGGCAGUAGCUGACGCUGAGGCGCGACAGCGUGGGGAGCAAACAGG